rnacentral:rRNA from 1 species
CAGACGGGUGAGUACGCGUGGAACGUGCCUUUCACUACGGAAUAGCUUUUGGAAACGAAAGGUAAUACCGCAUACGCCCUCCGGGGGAAAGAUUUAUCGGUGAAAGAUCGGUCCGCGUUAGAUUAGCUAGUUGGUGAGGUAACGGCUCACCAAGGCUACGAUCUAUAGCUGGUCUGAGAGGAUGAUCAGCCACACUGGGACUGAGACACGGCCCAGACUCCUACGGGAGGCAGCAGUGGGGAAUAUUGCACAAUGGGCGCAAGCCUGAUGCAGCCAUGCCGCGUGAAUGAUGAAGGCCUUAGGGUUGUAAAAUUCUUUCGCCAGGGAUGAUAAUGACAGUACCUGGUAAAGAAGCCCCGGCUAACUUCGUGCCAGCAGCCGCGGUAAUACGGAGGGGGCUAGCGUUGUUCGGAAUUACUGGGCGUAAAGCGCACGUAGGCGGACUUUUAAGUCAGAUGUGAAAUCCCGAGGCUCAACCUCGGAACUGCAUUUGAAACUGGGAGUCUAGAGAUCAGGAGAGGUUAGCGGAAUACCGAGUGUAGAGGUGAAAUUCGUAGAUAUUCGGUGGAACACCAGUGGCGAAGGCGGCUAACUGGACUGAUACUGACGCUGAGGUGCGAAAGUGUGGGGAGCAAACAGGAUUAGAUACCCUGGUAGUCCACACCGUAAACGAUGAGUGCUAGUUGUCUGCAGGCAUGCCUGUAGGUGACGCAGCUAACGCAUUAAGCACUCCGCCUGGGGAGUACGGCCGCAAGGUUAAAACUCAAAGAAAUUGA